GAUGAACGCUAGCGGUAGGCUUAACACAUGCAUGUCGAGGGGCAGCGUGAUGAAGUAGCAAUACGGAUUUGACGGCGACCGGCGCACGGGUGCGUAACGCGUAUGUAACCUACCUUUAACAGGGGGAUAACACUGAGAAAUUGGUACUAAUACCCCAUAACACUAACUGAGGCAUCUUGGUUAGUUGAAAGUUCCGGCGGCUAGAGAUGGACAUGCGUUGUAUUAGCUAGAUGGUGAGGUAACGGCUCAACAUGGCGACGAUACAUAGUGGGACUGAGAGGUUAACCCCCCACACUGGAACUGAGACACGGACCAGACGCCUACGGGAGGAAGCAGUGAGGAAUAUUUGUCAAUGGACGCAAGUCUGAACCAGCCAUGCCGCGUGCAGGAAGACGGCUCUAUGAGUUGUAAACUGCUUUUGUACAAGGGUAAAUCUCGGUACGCGUACCGAGUUGAAAGUACUGUACGAAUAAGGAUCGGCUAACUCCGUGCCAGCAGCCGCGGUAAUAC
rnacentral:rRNA from 1 species